CCCCUGCGCGUCUAGCCAGGAGUCUGCGCCCUAGAGCGUCCCCAGCACCAGGGGCUGGUGCCCAGCGUGCUAACCAUGCGUCUGCGGCCACGGCGGAGCUCCGAGCGGCUUUAGCGCCCCCUGCGAAGCACCCCGCGAUGCCCCAGCCACUGUGAAUCUUGCCGUCCGCCCAGAUACACUCAGCCCGGGACACCAGCCUUGGACAGCCUGGACUCUGCGCGCGCAGUGACGGACAGAAGCGUCCAGAGGGCAGAAAGUGCAGGGAGGCCUCCCCGGCAGGGGAAGCCGGCGGGUGAGGCGCGGGGACACGCACCCUAGCUGGCACUGGCGACUAGGG
rnacentral:other from 1 species